GCAUGCGUAAAUCUUUUACUGCAAACCACAGCAACAAAGCGGUCGACUAUCAGCUGAAAAACAUUUCUAUGCGCGCGCUUGAGGCGCGGAGGUUGAAGGUCGCAGAACGACAAUAUGGAGUUAGAAGAAGCUAAAGCUGAGGUUACAACUGGUCUGAAAUAUAUAAAUUCUGGAAACUACGCAGCAGGAGAGGCAUCAUACCGGCGUGUCUUGCAGCUGUAUGACUCCGCCGCUGCUAGUCCAGGGCCCGCAGACAAAUCAUUUG